UCCUGGAUGUGCCGGAAGAAGGUUAAUGCACUUUAUUUUGAAAAGUCCCAGAAGAGUUUGUACCGGAGUUUAAUGUUGAAAUCCAUGGCUGGGUCCCAACACUCUCAUCAGCAGAAUCCAGGACAGGUGCAUAGAUUGGAAAACUCCGCCCAAUCCACUCUGACUCUGGAAGGUAAGUAAACACAAACAGAUCCACCAAACAGAACACAAUCCUAAUAAAAUCAUGUGACAGUGCAAAUAUCUACUGUCCUGUUUGGCCACACGAGUGCCAGACCAUGUGCACAUUUUCGUGCAUACAGUUAUGAUGUCCUGGUACAGUAUAUCCACAUGUCUGGCCACCCAGGUAGAACAUAGGUUGUUUUGGUUGUUUUUUUUUUUAACCCCCAAGUCUACAUGUGCAAAUCUGGAGCCUAUCCACAUUUGCACCUUCCUUUAUCAUCCUUCCUAAUUUCCCCAGAGGGAAAACAUCAAGUAGAGAAAUGGGUUCAAAGAGGUAGACGAGACUUAUAUAAGUGGAGUGUUUCCCAGCUGGGAUGACAAAGAGAUGUACAGUAUGAGCAUGGAUGCAUGUGUUUACAGUUUGCACACAUGCAUGUAUUUCUGCUUAGUCUGUGAUGUGGAUAUAUUUCAUUUAGAAAAGCAAAGCAGAAGAAAAACACAAACAACAACCCUGACUGUAAUUCCUCAGAGGCAGAGUUAUACAUAGAAAAUUACAUGCUGGAGAGCCAACACCAUCUGACAAACCUUGUGCUUUCAAACCAAGAGGUGAAACACAUGCAUUUGUUCCAUCAAAGGUACAACAUUAAAUAACAUGAAGGAGUACUGUUUAGGUAGCGUAAUAGUAAGACCUGUCUGCACUUGGCCCUUUAAAUCUUGAGUUGAUAUUUACAUCUCGCCUGAAGUUUUGCUGCUGCUGCUGUUUCUGCUGCUGCUUGGUAACCACCAAGUGUUAUGCAAUCGGUCCAAUUCUGCUUGAAUAUUUUAAACCUUGAGUUUUAAAAAGGCAUGAGGCAGAUGUAGGCGCCGAAGUAUUGUUGGGGCUCUCUGGGCACAGCAAUCAGCUCCUUGGCAUGCUAGGGCUAAAUCUUUCAUAUGAGCAGGGAAAAGGGAGUUAUUUGUGUGUGUGUGUGUGUGUGUGUGUGUGUGUGUGUGUGUGUGUGUGUGUGUGCUAGUAAAUGAGUGGCAGGGGGAUAUAGAGCAAACUUGGUCAGCCUGCAAGUCAAUACUCAUCUCCUUAAACUGUCAACUCUGAGGAAAUGUUAUUUGGAACUGUAAAGUAAUAAAACAAUGAGCAGUGCACUUGUUAAUGUUUGAUGCGGACUGAUUUAGCCUAUGUUGUGAAAGUGCUGCAGCUGCUGAGGGCCCCCUUACACAUUUACACAUUAUGGUUAGCUAAAAGACAUGACACAGGUGAAUGUUUAACCACGAGCGGACCUAUUCAUUGUAUUUGUUGACUACACCUAAAGUAACGGCCUAAAAGGCCUUUUAUGUGAUUGAGCAGAAUAUUGCAUAAGUUUGAAGUAGAAGGAAAAUGAUAAGUGGUUUUCUAAUUAUAUUUAAUAUAAAAUUUUUAAUUCAGCUUCCAAUACUUAAGAAAUUGUGAAAUCAAUACACCUUAUUUGUAAGAAAGUGAAAAUAUUGAGAAAAUCUUUUCUCAAUCUUUUCUCAGACCUAGCAGCCUUUAUUUUUUUGGUAUUUUCUGAAAGUAGGCAGACAGGAAGCAGGGUGGAGUGAGGGGAAUGACAUGCAGCACAGGUUGCCAGGGCUGGGACUCAAAGCUGGAACAAAUGCGUUGAGGACUGAAGCCUCAGCAUAUGGGUUGCACCCUCUACCACUACGCCAUGUGCCACGCCAUAAAGAACUUUUUUAAUUCAAUUCAAUUCAGUUUUAUUUAUAUAGCGCCAAUUCACAACACUUGUUGUCUCAAGGCACUUCACAACAGUCAGGUACAUACAUUCCAAUUAAUCCUAACAAUUGAACAGUGCAUUCGGAGUUAGCUUUUUAUUCAAAUUGGAUAAAAAGUGUUUCUAUCUAAGGAAAUGCGUCUAGCUUUAUUUGUAUACAACCUUUGAAAAUUAUUCAUAGCCCGUGAUUGUCUCCACAUUUUGUGACAUUAAAAUCUCAGACUUCAGUGUAUUUUAAUAGGAUUGGCAUGCAUUGGUAUUUACUAUUUAGACUCACCUCGUAUAGAAUCACUUUUCACUUCAAGUACCACAGCAAGUCCCCUGGGGUUGGUCUCUAAAAGCUUUGCACAUUUCCUGUCUGACAUUUUUGCCCAUUCUUUGCAAAAUAGCUCAACCAUAGUCGGAUUGGAUGGAAAGUGUCAGAACAGCAAGUCUUGAUACAGAUUUCUAUUUGCAUUCUGGUCUAGUCUCUGCACCGUUCUAACACAUAAACAUACUUUAAUUUAAACCCUUCACUUGUAGCUCUGGCUUUAUAUUUAGGGUUGUUGUCCUGCUGAAAGGUGAAUCUCCACUCCAGCCUAAAACACACAGGUGUCAAACUCCAUUCAAUUCAAUUCAAUUCAAUUCAAUUCAAUUCAAUUCAAUUCAAUUCAAUUCAAUUGAAGGACACUCAAGGGCUGGUGUCCUGCUACUUUGUGCCUGGUGUGUCUUGAUGUGUUCAACCAUUGAUCCAGGUGUUUUGGAGUUGGGACACAUCCAAAGUUGCAGAACACCGCCCUAUGAGGACUGGAGUUUGACACUCCUGCUUUAGCAGGUUUCCUUCCAAAAUGUCUCUUGUAUUUAGCUCCAUCCAUCUUCUCACCAACUCUGAUCUUCUUCCAUAUCCCUACUGAAUUAAAGCAAUCCCAUAGCAUGAUGCUACUACCACUAUGAUUCAAGGCAGGGAUGAUGUUUUCUGUGUUCCUUUAGUGUUGAUUUUUCCCCAAACACAGUGUGUUACAUGUCGGCCAGAAAUUUACGUUGUGGUCUCAUCUGACUAAACCUCUUUCAUUCACAUGUUUGUUGUGUUUCCUAAAGGUCUUGUGUCAAAUUGCAAACAGGAUUUUAAUGGCUUUCUUCUUUCCACUUUUCCAUUAUAGGCAUAUUUGUGGGGAACAUAUUUAAUAGUUGCAAACAGAUUCUCCCACCUAAACUGUGGAUCUCUGCAGAGUUACUAUGAGCCUCUCGGCUGGUCCUCUGAUUAAUGCUACCCUUUCCCAGGUUUCCAGUCUGGGUGGACAGCCAUACCUUGAACAAUGUAAGGGGGAGAUGGUGAUACGUCUGCACUUUGUUCAACCGCUGAAGGAGAUUGGAGGAUGAGAAUAAGAUGUUCCAACUGAUGGCUGUUCCAGGUCCCCUAGAGAGACGGCGAGAAGAAGAAGACAGAAACACGCCAACAACAAGACAGUCAUUACAGACUGUAUUAUCAUUUCUACUUGUUUAUGCUCACUUACAUAGAAAAAGGCCUUUGAAGGUUUAUUAAUUGUGAUCAGUUGCCUAAUAAACCCAUUUACACCACU